rnacentral:rRNA from 1 species
AUGUCGCAGGUGCAGCAUAGCCUCCACGAGCUGCUGCUGCUGCUGCAGGCGAGGUCGCCGUCUCCACAGGCAGCCCUAGUGGUCUCUCUGCUGCUCGUCUGUCCACUUCUCGUACUCUUCGUGGCACGUCGCUUCGGGACGCCGUCGACGGCCACCAUCACCGCCAGAGCCAGAGAAGAUCAGCUGAGCAAGCUGCCUUCUCCUCCCAGCAGGCUCCCCAUCAUCGGCCACCUGCACCUCGUCGGCCCCCUCCCGCACGUCUCGCUCCGGGACCUCGCCGCCGAGCACGGCCGCGAUGGACUCAUGCUCCUCCGCCUCGGAGCCGUACCGACGCUCAUCGUAACCUCGCCGAGCGCCGCGCAGGCCGUGCUGCGCACCCACGACCACGUCUUCGCGUCCCGGGCCUACUCCCCCGUCACCGACAUCCUCUUCUACGGCUCCACGGACGUCGCCUUCUGCCCCUACGGCGAGCACUGGCGGCAGGUCAAGAAGAUCGCCACCACGCACCUCCUCACCAACAAGAAGGUCCGCUCCUACCGCCAUGCGCGUGAGAACGAGGUGAGGUUGGUGGUGGCCAAGAUCCGGGAGGCGGCCACCACUGGCAUCGCCAUGGACAUGAGUGACCUCCUCAACGCAUUCGCCAACGACAUCGUUUGCCAUGCUGUGUCCGGUAAGUCUUUCAGGAAACAAGGCCACAACAAGCUCUUCCGGGAGCUCGUCGAGGCCAACUCGUCGCUCAUCGGCGGUUUCAACCUGGAAGACUACUUCCCAGUGUUGGUGAAGUUGGACUUCAUCAAGAAGAUGGUGUGCGCCAAGGCCCAGAAGGUGAACAAGAUGUGGGACAAACUUCUCAAUAGCCUCAUCGAUGACCAUGCAAGCAGGCCCGCGUCAGAACAAGGCGGCGAGGACAGCGACUUCAUCGAUGUGUUGCUUUCCAUUCAACAAGAGUACAAUCUUACGAGAGACCAUAUUAAGGCUCAGUUGGAGAUCAUGUUUGAAGCUGGCACCGAUACAUCGUUCAUAGUGUUGGAAUAUGCCAUGGUUCGGCUCAUGCAAAAACCCCACCUCAUGAAUAAGCUGAAAACCGAGGUCAGGAGCACUAUAUCCAAGGGGAAAGAAAUGAUUGCUGAAGACGAUCUGAGCAGUUUGGCCUACCUAAAGGCAGUCAUCAAAGAGACACUUCGGCUCCAUAUGCCCGCACCGCUCCUUGUGCCUCACCUCUCCAUGGCCGACUGCAAAAUCAAUGGCUACACCAUACCAUCAGGGACGCGCGCCAUCGUAAACAGCUGGGCUCUUGCAAGGGAUCCCAGUAGUUGGGAGAGCGCAGAAGAGUUCAUGCCUGAGCGGUUUAUGGAAGGUGGUAGCGCUGCAACUAUGGACUACAAGGGAAACAAUUUCCCUUACUUGCCCUUUGGGACUGGGCGGAGGAUAUGCCCAGGUAUCAACUUUGCUAUUGUGACGAUUGAAAUCAUGCUAGCAAAUCUCAUGUACCACUUCGACUGGAAGCUACCAUCAGAAUCAAUGGAAGCUGGCAUCAGUAUGACUGAAUCAUUUGGGGUAACAGUACACCGAAAGGAGAAGCUCCUCCUUGUCCCUGCAGUGCUGGAAGAUUAA